GGGGAAUUUUGGACAAUGGGCUCAAGCCUGAUCCAGCCAUGCCGCGUGAGUUAAGAAGGCCUUCGGGUUGUAAAGCUCUUUCAGACGUAAAGAAAUCUCUCGGGAUAACACCCUGGGAGUAUGACGGUACCGUAAGAAGAAGCACCGGCUAACUACGUGCCAGCAGCCGCGGUAAUACGUAGGGUGCGAGCGUUAAUCGGAAUUACUGGGCGUAAAGCGUGCGCAGGCGGUGAUGUAAGACAGAUGUGAAAUCCCCGGGCUCAACCUGGGAACUGCGUUUGGGAAUGCAUAACUCGAGUACGGCAGAGGGAGGUGGAAGUCCGCGUGUAGCAGUGAAAUGCGUAGAUAUGCGGAGGAACACCGAUGGCGAAGGCAGCCUCCUGGGCCAGUACUGACGCUCAUGCACGAAAGCGUGGGGAGCAAACA
rnacentral:rRNA from 1 species